rnacentral:rRNA from 1 species
CCUACGUGAGGCAGCAGUGAGGAAUAUUGGUCAAUGGUCGCGAGCCUGAACCAGCCAAGUCGCGUGAGGGCAGCCGGUCCUAUGGAUUGUAAACCUCUUUUGUCAGGGAGCACAAGACGCCACGCGUGGCCUUCCGAGAGUACCCGAAGAAAAAGCAUCGGCUAACUCCGUGCCAGCAGCCGCGGUAAUAAGGAGGAUGCGAGCGUUAUCCGGAUUUAUUGGGUUUAAAGGGUGCGCAGGCGGACGAUCAAGUCAGCGGGAAAAUUGAGAGGGUCAACCUCUUCGAGCCGUUGAAACUGGUUUUGUGGAGUGAGCGAGAAGUAUGCGGAAUGCGCGGUGUAGCGGUGAAAUGCAGAGAUAUCACGCAGAACUCCGAUUGCGAAGGCAGCAUACCGGCGCUCAACUGACGCUCAUGCACGAAAGUGUGGGUAUCGAACAGGAUUAGAUACCCUAGUAGUC